GACGAACGCUGGCGGCGUGCUUAACACAUGCAAGUCGAACGGAAAGGCCCUGCUUUUGUGGGGUGCUCGAGUGGCGAACGGGUGAGUAACACGUGAGUAACCUGCCCUUGACUUUGGGAUAACUUCAGGAAACUGGGGCUAAUACCGGAUAGGAGCUCCUGCUGCAUGGUGGGGGUUGGAAAGUUUCGGCGGUUGGGGAUGGACUCGCGGCUUAUCAGCUUGUUGGUGGGGUAGUGGCUUACCAAGGCUUUGACGGGUAGCCGGCCUGAGAGGGUGACCGGCGACAUUGGGACUGAGAUACGGCCCAGCCGCCUACGGGAGGCAGCGGUGGAGAGUAUUGCACAAUGGGCGGAAGCCUGAUGCGGCAACGCCGCGUGCGGGAUGACGGCCUUCGGGUUGUAAACCGCUUUCGCCUGUGACGAAGCGUGAGUGACGGUAAUGGGUAAAGAAGCACCGGCUAACUACGUG
rnacentral:rRNA from 1 species